AAUGCACCAAUCAAUAAUAAACCACUUAGUAUGAUGACCCCUACCUUAUUUUAUUGAAAAACAUUACUCGUCUUUCUAUUGGUAAUCUUACUCUCUGUCAUCAAUGCCAAUAAGGUUAUGUGCCUAAUUCAACGGCAUAUGAAAUAAUGGUAAGUAGAACUUUGAUUGUCUGGUUUUGAUUUUUCUAAUAUAUGUUGAUAAUAAUCAGAAUCUCCAGACUAGAAACAUAGCUUUUCUUUAG
rnacentral:lncRNA from 1 species